UCAGUGGAAGUUCUUGCUUCGGUUGGGGAAGACGUUUUUCCAAUUUAGGGAGAGUAAUGUGGGUGUAUUCCGCGGCGCGGAUGUGAAAGUUUCUUGUGUAAACUACUAUUUAUUGGAAAUAAAAAGAAUGGUUUAAGACAAAAGCACUUGCAUUUUGUAGUUAAUUGCUGAAGCGUAACGGCAAAUACCGAGCGCAUCCAUAGUUCGUGUGUGCCAAAUCUACAGCAACAUAAGCUAUCAAAGAGUCAUACGUAUAGUCAAACAGUCAGCCAGACAGUCAUUGGAUCACACAUGCACUUGCGAAUUAAUUGCACGGAAUACCUACAACAACAACAAGAACAACAAUAUACAAAUGUAGCACAUUAAGAGCGUUGGAACAAUUCAUAUUGAAAAUUUGUGUUUGCUCAUUGAUGUGAAAAAUUAAAAUCAAAAACAACAAUAACAACAACCAAUCGAAACAAAACACCAAAGGAUUCAUGUUUUAAAUACAAAUAGCAAAUAGCAAAUAAAGUGAUUGCUUUACACUUUCUCCCGCUAAAAUUGCAAACAUUCGAAGAUCACAAAAUGCACCAAAAAACACUGAAAACACAGAAAACUAUAAAUGCAAAAGCUGUGAAAUUGCCAAUGGAAGCCGGCAAUCGCACAGUGCAACGCCAUACAAGCGACCAUACAUGUUGCCAUAUCUCAGGCUGGAGUGCGCUUUUUGUGCUCUUGGCCUUGAGUACUUGGGCCAGCCAGACGCAAGCCUUCGAUUUGGGCAACGAGCUGAAUCUCAAGCCGACAAACUACGCGGAAUGGAACGAAAAUGUCACGUACGUCAGCUCGACCGCAUAUAAUGCGCGUGGCAUGCAGCCACUUUACGAAAUCACACAUAAAAUUAUUUGGUUCUUUACCGGUGAACAUCCACUGCCAGAAGGUUACCUCGUAGUCAAGGAAAACGACAUAGAAUUCGGACCGAAAGUCGAACGCAAUGAAUGGAUUGAUUUAUUCAAACAUUAUUGGCUUAUAUGGCUAAUUGUCUUGCUCGUUGGCCUGCUAAUUGUUACAAUGCCAGUUGUUGGUUUAUGCUUUUGCUGUUGUCGCUGCGCUGGCGCUUGUGGUGGACGCUCGGAGCCGUUUGACAAGAAACAUGACACCUGUCGCCGUGUGUUCUUGGGAUUCUUGCUUAUAGUAUUGGCAACAGGUUUGCUUUUCGGUGUUAUAGUCACAUUCGCAACAAACAGUUAUAUGCAACAGGGUAUUGAGAAAAGCACAGAUCGCGUACGUAAUGCCAGCGUUGAUACGCGCACAUUUCUGGAAACCACAUCGGAACAGGUCGAUCACGUGCUCAUCAAAAACUACAAACAAUUGUCAAUUCAGUUGGACAAUAUUAUGCGCGAAACAUCGAGUUUCAUCAUCAAAGAGUUGGAGCAGAAAUCUAUGGCUGUUUCGCUCAUCUAUCUAACAGACUUUCUUGAAAAACUGCCAGAGCUUAGAUUAAAAUUACAGAAGAUGAAGAGCAUCACCAACGAUUUGCGCGUUUACGCUUCACAGUUGAGCAAUGGCUUGCGUGGCGUAAAACGUGAUUUAUUAGUUAUGCUGACAAAAUGCAACAACAAAGCAUGUCAGGAUGUGCUCAACAAGUAUGAGAUCGGAAAGCUUGAUGCUAACGGCAUACACUACGAUCAGAUGGUAGACCGAUACUUUCCAAAGCUUCCGGAUGUAACAGAUAUCAUCGACAAUUUGGAUAGCUUGAUAAGUAAGGAUAUAGCCUCGGCUGGCAAGCGUGGACGUGAUAUACUCAAUCAAAUGCGUGUACAUCUCAAUACAACAAUUGCAAAAUAUACACCCAAAAUCAUUGAUUCCAUAAAUAAAGCAGGUCAUGCUUUCCAACGCGCCUCAAACGAAAUCAAAAUGAAACUUAACAAACUUUCACAAGUUAUUAAAGACAAUACUAAAAAGUACACCGGCGUUGCCGAUGACUAUUUAGAGGAAUAUGGACCAUAUCGUUUUUACUUUGGCAUCGCUGUGUGCUCAAUAUUGUUACUGAUUUUGCUUUGCGUGGUCGCUGCUUUGUUGUGCGGCAUUUGUGGCAAACGGCCGGACGGUUAUGGCGAUGACUGCUGCAAUAAAGGCUCAGGUUCACGCUUCCUUAUGAUGGCUGUAGCGCUGAUUUUCCUGUCUAUUUCAUUGAUUGCUUUGGUAACACUGGUGCACUUUUUGAUCGGUCUAAUCGCCUAUCGCGGCGUAUGUCUUCCAUUAAAGGACCCUCAAAAUGAUGAGAUAUUCGCACAAUUCGACAACUCGAUUGACUUAAAUAAUGUGCUUAAUCCACCGCAAAACAAAGGCAAGCCGACCUCGGGUGGUUUACCACCACUGCGUAUUUCACACGUGAUCACCGCCUGCCAACGCAAUCAAACAAUCUACGAAGUGUUGCAUAUACAUAACCGCUUUGACAUUCAUGAAAUUAACGAUUAUCCAGCACAAUAUAAAAUCAAUCAGACACUGGAUGAUCUGGUAGAUGGCAUAUCAUUUGACGACAGCGAUAUCGAGAUUUUAAGUGCCGAGGAUAAACAACGCAUACUCAAUCUGGCCGAUUCGGCAUUGAAGAAUUUCGACUCCGCCCAAUAUAUAGACAAUCUGAACGACACCAUCACCAAGCAUUCGUUAACAGAAAUUGCUCAAGAAUUGCGACAGACGGCAAAGAAAAUUGACAAAAGUGAAGAUAUGAAAGACGUACAGGUUAGUCUGCGCAAUCAGGCAUUACAUUUGGAGACAUAUGAACAAAACUGGGUAAUACCAAUAAAAAAUCAAUCGGUAGAACUUAUACGGUUAGCCAAUGACUUGGAUCAAAGUUUGCGCUAUAAGGAUCGUCCAUUCCACGAGUCCAUACCGUUGCUGGUCAGUGAGAUUGAGCGUGCGCAGUUAUUCUUCCGCGUGGAUGGGCGGCAAUUCGUUAAGAACACCGCAGUCAAUUUGACGCACUAUUUUGCCAGCGAAAUUGAGAACUACUUGAAAAUGGUUGUGGUGGCCGUGGAGAAGAAAAUUGGCUUGUGUGCACCGCUAGCGAAUAUCUAUGACUCUGGUGUGGUGGGGCUGUGUAGUGCAAUUGUAGAUCCAUUGAAUGGAUUUUGGUCUGGUGCCGUGCUAUGUGUUGUACUCUUUUUGCCAACGCUGCUGGUUGCAGUCAAGUUGGCUAGUUUAUAUCAGAAGUCUGACCCAUAUCCCGGUCCACUAGUGGAAGCGGAGUAUUUGUAUGACGCAUAUAGUGAACGUGAUCAUAUUCCAUUGGCAAAUGGGCCAAAGAACAAGCGCCGAAAGAAUAAAGACCGUAGACGCGGUCGUGAAUACUACGAGGAUCCUGUCGCUUCUACGGCGCACGGUGUGCCACCAACUGUCGGUGUGCGUGACACGCGUUACAGCGACAUGGCACCCAAAGCUAAGUGUAUUGUUGGCUCUGUUGAUACGAGACCAAGAUCAUUGAUGGGCGAUGGUUUCUAUUAGGUUCUAUAACACUGACGUUGGUGAUGAUUUACGAUGAUGAUGUUAUAGUGGUGCGUUGGUUAAUAUUUAAUUUUUUUCUUUGAGUGUUUUAUUCGUUUCGUACUCGUUGUGCGAAAGACUGAAUUGAAUAUGCCUAGCUUAGUUUCUAACAAAUUUUGCUUUGCUUUCUAUUUCUGCUAUUACUAAUGCUUACGUGGGCUUUCUACAUACAAACAUACGUACACUUAUUGCUAAUCAUUAAUUUUAGAUCAAAAUGUACAUUUCUUUUUAAAUGAUGGUAUUUAUGAUCAGAAAACCACUUCAUUAAAUUCAGCAAGUCACUUCAAUAACUGUUAUAUAAGUACAUAUAGUUUUUUUUUAUGAUUUUCUUCAUUCUUGCACAUUUGCACAAUCGUUAUGCCGAAACAAAUUGAGAUGAAAACUGACGUGUCAGAAAACAUAUUUUAUUAAAAUAUGAUUUUCGAAUUAAAUUGUUUAUAAUCGUUAAAAAUAAGUGGGGUGUCGCGUGGAGUCAAUUUAAAAGAAAAAUGCAUUGGGAUGGCGGCCCACCGAGAUACCAGAAUCCACCAAUGGCACCACCUGCCUCCGAGUACGAACGCCCACCGCCAUAUUACUAUCCGGGUGCCACGGAGCAAGACUAAGUAAUACAGAUUGAAAUACAUUUUUAAAAUGUCGCCAACAAAGAAGCAAAGCAAGCAGCACCAACAACAACAAUAUAAAUGUAAGCAACAAAUGCAAUAACCACAAACGCAGUGAGGAGAGACAAAAUGAAUACUUGUGAACAGCCUGUGUUGUUGCAGAGGUGGCGAGAGACUCCUAACAACAAUAACAAAACAAAAUUAUGUGGCAUAAGGUGCACAUUGCGUGCGUCCAAAAGUUAUUAAUAGCGUGUUUUCCAAAACUCAUUUGUUUUUGAUUUGGCUACUUUGGAAAACUUGUGAAAUUCAAAUUGAUUACGGCAGCCGCGGCACACUUGCCUACAUUACAACAGUUUUUCUACUCUCAAAAAUAUAAACAAACAAUCAAAAACGACACGCAUAUUUUAGCGAAUAAUAAAAAUCAUUAAAAACCAAAUAAAAGCAAGUGAAAACAAUUUCUGGAUUGCACAUAAAAAUACUGUUGGUUUCAAAAACCGAAAAGCGUGUAGAAACGUUAUAUGUUAGCUACAAUAUAUAAAUAUAAAGCAAAGAAAUAUAAUGAUGAUAUAAUUAAAGCAAAAAAGAAAACAUAGGAGAGAAAAAACGAAAAUAAAAACACAGCCAUUAUGCAUUUUCAUUCCAGCGCCCCGACACACAUACAUAUAUGUAGUAGAUACUCGAAAAUCGUUUCGAUAAUCUCAAGUAUUUUAGUUAGUUUUAUAUUGAAGUGUUAUUCAAAAAGAUAUAUAUAUGUGUAUGUAUUGUAUAUGUGAAAUGAGACUGUAUUUGUUAGGUUUUGUAAACACUUUUAAUGAGUUGAUGAGUUCUUGUCUCAUUAGCUGCAUAUAUAUAUAUUUACCUAGGUACUCACAUAAACAUACACAACAUUAUUUUUAAACAUGCCACGAUUUGUGUAUUUGAAUUCUAGUAAUAUAAUGCAAAUAAUAAUAAUUAAUAAAACAAUAUUGAAUUCAUAAAUUUUAUUAUAAACAUUUAUAUAAACUGUAUGUGUACAUCAUUCAAUUAAUAAUUGCAAAUGUUUGUUAGAUUUUAAAUACCAUAUAUAUGUUAUAUUUAUGUAUACAUAAAUGUACAAGCAAAGCAAAAAAAAAAUAUCAAUUUGAAUUGUGAAAUGAACCAUUUAUAAUGAAAUGAACGAAUUUUUUUAUUAUUACAACCAAAUGUUUUUUAUAUUUACAAAAUAAACGAAAUCGCUGUAGACGAGGCUGCGAGCACAUCAUUUUACAUUAAGUUUGAAAAUGAGGUUUUCUUUAUUUCUUUAGCAACUUUAAUGCGCAGCGUUGCUUUUUUGCUAUAAUAAAUGUCACAAAAGUUGUAGUUUGUUAAGUAUGAAGCCAGCAAACGCAUAGUUAGGCGGAGUUUGCUGCAGUCGAUAAACAGAAAAGCAAUUUUUUGGCAACCGUAGCAAGUAAUUGUAGUAUUUUGAAGAAAAAAGUUGCAUUUAAAAGUCAGUUAAGGCAAUGGAAUGCAUACUGAAAUAUGAUAUAAUAACAAUAACAGCUAAAACUCGAAACUGCAGGAAAUAUAAAAGACACUUCUAAGGCUGCAUUCACACGAGGACUGUUUUGUCGCUCAUAAUCGGCGAAUUCUCGUUUGGUAUCGCUCAUUGCGUUCACACAAGCGACACGAGUCGGACAACUUGUGUCGCGCAAUUUUUUGCAUUUUCUUUCAUAUUACAUUUUAAAAUUCUUGUACGUUUCAUGUACGCGGUGCAAAAAAAAUUUUUUUGUUUAGUUAAUUUGUAUCCUUAUUCACCCUCUUCUAAACCAUUUCUAUUAUAUUAUGGAUAUUUACUUACAUAUUUCCGGACAUAAUGUAAAAAUUCGUUUGAAACCUAGAGCUAUUGCUAUCGUCUACAAAAAAUCGGUUUGGUCAACAAAAGUGUCCUCGUGGGAACAUAGUCUAAGUUGCUGCUACUCAUAUGUGCAUUUAGAUAUUACAACUGCAGGCAUAUUAUUAUAUAUGGGGGGAAGGAAGGAAAAAAUGUGCAGGAAGUUGAAGUUUUUUCAUUAACAAAUAUUUAAUAACAAUUAAUAGAAAUUAAUGAUAAAAAAAAUUAAAAAACAGUCGUAAAUAUUAAGGGUGAUAUUUAUAAGCAUAAACAAAGUAAAAAAAAAAAUAAGAAGAAAGCAAAAGAAAAUUAAACGGAAAUAUUAGAAAAUUCGUAGUAGAAUGGAAAGCUAGCUUAUAUGUUUAUAUCUGGGUGCAUAAAAAAUUUGUUCACAAGCAAUGUGCAUAAUUCUAACUUUGAAGAUUUUAGUUUAUUUUAGAACAGUUGCCUAAUUUCUACUAAAAUUUUACCUAGUGCAUUUCAAAUAAAAUUUGAAUUUUUUUUAACCAUUCCAUAUAAAACGUAGAUGAAUUGAAAAGAAAUGUACUCGUAUUCAAUAUUUUAGCAUAUUUCAAAUACACACCAGACAAUACAAACCAUGAAACUGUUUAAUAUAAAUUCUUUUACAAAUUCUAUGAAUCAUUGAGUUGAAGAUUUCAAAAAAUUUUACGUGUAUUUUUCAAAAUUUCUUAGAAAUUCUUAUAAAUUGCAAACAAUACAGAAGUGUUGGUUAUCAUUUAAGGCUUUUAUAAAAAAAUGUUCAAAAUUUUUAGAAAAAAAAAAUAAUAACAGUGAGCUGCAGUCAAAAGUUUUAUUGUAAAAAGCUGUUUCAAAUCAGCUAGUUUUUGUUCGAAAAUGCUCCAAAAAUAUGUUUUUACAUAUACAUAUUAUAUAUUUAUAUAUCAGAAGAAAUUUUAAAGGUUGUUUUCGUGUGUUAAAAUAUAGCGUUUGGCUUGAGUAUUCUAAUUAAUAACCAAUAUGUAAUUUGUAUUUGAAAUGUGUAUGUAUAUAAUUUUCACUUUUUGUUUUAUGGUAUGCAUAAAAUUGCUCAAGUAGUAAAUACAAAAAUUCGGGUGCUUUUUCAAAUGACUGCCGCGUUUAUUUUAGCCAUUUAACACAAUAUAAUAAUGUUGAAAACACAAAUGAUUGCAACAUAUGUAAUUCAAGGUUAUAAAAAAUUAUGAAGAAAAAAUUAAUGAAGAUUAUAAAAAAAUCAAAUAAAAUCUUGCAACAAAAAGCAUUAAAGAGUAACCAAAAGUACCGUAACAAGUUAGUUGAAAGCAGUAAUAUACAGUAAGCAUUUAAGGAGCAUGUUGGAAGGUUUUAAACUGCCAUUUAAAAUUAAACUAAAAAAUAUUAAAAUACUUGAAUAAUAACUAAAAAAUAGAUUUUGUCCAAGAAAAGUUGUAAUAAAAAAAUAUAAUUAACACGAACCCAUGCGAAAAAUGCAUUUUAAAUAACGCAACUGUUAUAUAUUAUCAAUAUAAUUAUGUAAUAUUAAACACACUUGCGGUAUAUAUUUACAAACUAUACGCUAUGUAUGUUAAGCUAAAUAAAUAAAAAAUAAAGAAAAGGUUAAUAAAUAAAUAAAUUUGAAGAAAACAAUUUAAAAAAAAAUAAAAAUGUUCACUGUGUCAAUAUUUACUUUGUUUUUCAAGUCAAUGACACACAAAAAUUGGUAUGCUCACAUGAAAUUUAUACUUAUGAAUGUUCUAUUGUCAUAAUUAUAUGAAAAGACAUGCAAAAAGUUUAUUAUACUUGCUAUAAAAUAUAUACAACUUUAUUGAGAUUAUUAUAGGAAAUAUGACGAGUAUACCGUUACUUGUUGUGCGCAUUUAAUUUUCACUUAAACUUAAGUAAACUUUGUCUGUCUGCAAACGUACCGAUUUCAAGUGACUGGAUUUGAUUUAAACUUGUCCUUUUUUAUAACAAAUUAAUGUAGACGAAAUAUUUUAUAGCGUGCUAUAAGAAAAUAUAAAAAUAUGUAUAAUUAUUAUAUACAAUAUAACUUUAAAUAUAAAGAAAAAUAAUAAUAUUUUCUCCCCCUCAUUUUGCUUUCUCGUAUAUUACACAUUUUACUUGUGACACCUCCUCGUAGUUAUAAGUGUGUGUUCACAAAGAAGUUGAAAUUAAAUGAAUUACACAUACGAAAGCAAAUCUAGUAUAAAAGUUUUGUCAUUACAAACUCAUACUCACUUAAAUACAAACUUAGCUACUUGAAAUCACUCAAAAACUCUAAUGCAAAUCAUUCGAAAACAUAAACUAUGCACUUUUAGAUAAAAGAAAAAUGUAAACGUAAAUGUGUGGUGAACGGCUGGUGACAUAAAGACAGAAAGUAAAUUAUGCAAAUGUCUCAUAAUUGUUGCAACAAAUAGAAUUUGCAAUGCAAAAAAAAAAAA